rnacentral:lncRNA from 1 species
GAGGGAGACGGUGGCUCCAAAACGCAAUGGAGGCUCAGGGAAGACGUCAGCAGACGUCCUGUUAUAUCUACCACGGCCACGAGGCCUGGCUGCAAGUGAGAGGCAUUUCUGGUAGGAAAACCCAUCAUGGGCCCCCAGGGGAGACCCCUGCCCCUGCUGGCCCUGGGCUGCCCAUCUUCGAGCCAGGAAGAAUUACAGGUGCAUCUGGAGCUCCACUCCCACACAGGCUGACUCUGGAGAAAAGAUUAGUCUUCAGCCUGGGAAGUGCUCUGGCCAGCUGAGAGAGCUAUGUGAGGAGGAAACUGUCCUGGAUUUGCUCAUUCCCCACAGCGCCAACAGAGUGCUGAGAACACAAAGGGCAAGUGGGUGAAUGAUGGAGAAUAACGGGACAACUACACACAGGACACAUGCUGAGCAGGAAGGGAAAUCCUUCUGACUUCUGGGAACAGAAGGGGCAGCAGGAGCUGUGAGCCUGAGCCAGGCCCUCCUGCUACUUACUCAAAAUGGACAGAAGGAACCAGCUUUCUCGGGAAACAGGGCUGCUUAGCAAGAGGCCUCGGACCUGCCAUGGGAUGGAAGUAGCAAGAAAAACAAAGCAUGUCUGAGACCGAGGAUGCGAGUCAAGAAGAAGCUGAACUUGGCAGACCAGAUUCACAAAUCCAGGAUCUAGAAAUUUCCAAGUUUCUGUAAGAGGAAUGAAACCCAGCUCUGCAGUCACACGUGCCUGUGAUUUGUCUCCCCUCAACAACAUAGCCGUCUAGGAUCCCACAGAUGCUGCUUUCAAGGAACUUCAGAGGGUUCCUAGGAAAAGUUUGUUUCAAACUGAUGAAACCCCAAAUAUAUUGGAGAUCAAUAAUUUAAAGUGUCAGUAAGAUAAAAUGUUAAGAUAAGAAAAGAAUAUGGCCAAGUCAGCCACACCUGGUGUCCAGCGAUGCUGAGGCUGCCAUGCCUCUGGCAGCACACAUUGUCCAGAGUCAUGGUUAAUGAUGACAGGACCUGAGUCCUGUGAUCUAAGGUGGUGGACCCUGUAUACUCAUAGGCCUGUUCUGCGGCAGAAUUUUUUUUUCGAGGUUCUGGAAAUUUAACCUCCCUUUGUUUUUCCACCUUCUGAGCUUGGAUCUCCAGCUUCCACGGUAAUUUUAUGAGCUACCAAAUGAUUAUUCAGACAAUUGAUUUUCUGGUUGAAUGAGAAUCACUUUCUGUUAUUUCUAACUUAGACUGGACAGAGUUACUGCAUAAAAUUCAACAAGUCAAAACAUAUUAGGUGGUUAUAAAACUAGGAUUGAAAAAAUAAUAAUUUCCACUUACGGCCAAAAAUGGAAUUUAUAGCAACAAGAUUUAUUCUCCCACUUUAAGGAACUAGAAAACUGGACAAAAUGCAAAGAACAGGGGUUUUCACUCACCAAACAGGCAGUGCGAGGCUGCGAUCCCACGGAGAAGGGAACAAGGUGGGCCCCACAGCUGCACCCACUGACUGCCUGGAUGCAGUUUCCAGGCCUCAGCACAGGGAGGGC